rnacentral:rRNA from 1 species
CAGCCGCCGCGGUAACACGGAGGAUCCGAGCGUUAUCCGGAAUUAUUGGGUUUAAAGGGUGCGUAGGCGGAUAGAUAAGUCAGUGGUGAAAGACGGUGGCUCAACCAUCGCAGUGCCGUUGAUACUGUUUAUCUUGAAUAUGGUUGAGGUAGGCGGAAUGUGGCAAGUAGCGGUGAAAUGCAUAGAUAUGCCACAGAACACCGAUUGCGAAGGCAGCUUACCAAGGCAAAAUUGACGCUGAGGCACGAAAGCGUGGGGAUCGAACAGGAUUAGAUACCCCCGUAGUCCCUGUCUCUUAUAC